UACGAAGGGGGCUAGCGUUGCUCGGAAUCACUGGGCGUAAAGGGUGCGUAGGCGGGUCUUUAAGUCAGGGGUGAAAUCCUGGAGCUCAACUCCAGAACUGCCUUUGAUACUGUAGAUCUUGAGUUCGGGAGAGGUGAGUGGAACUGCGAGUGUAGAGGUGAAAUUCGUAGAUAUUCGCAAGAACACCAGUGGCGAAGGCGGCUCACUGGGCCGAUACUGACGCUGAGACACGAAAGCGUGGGGAGCAAACAGG
rnacentral:rRNA from 1 species